AAAGGGAAGUGAUUUUCCAAAGACACACCUGUGAAAGCCGUGUUGAACCAUGAAAGGACCUCAGGAAUGAAACCCACACACAGCAAAGCAACAAAGUGAAAGAAGCGUGGAUUCCUAAUGCAGGAGGCACUGAACCAAUCAAUACCCACUGCCCUCCAGACCUCCACAUGAAAGAAAAAAACUGCUGUCCUGUGUAAGACACUUUUAUUUUGUGUUUCUAUUGUAUGAGGUCAAACCUAAUAACAGAUAUAUUACACUCUAACAGAUACAUUACAUUGUAUAGUAGAAUUCUCAGACAGCAACCUUAUAAGGUGAUAGAUGCAGAAACAGGCCCAAAGAGUAAAAAUAAUUUGUUCAGAGUUUUCCAGCCAAGUGGCGAAGGUGAGAUUCUUACCUGGGUUUGUCUGAAACCAAUUUUCACUAUCUUUUUCA
rnacentral:lncRNA from 1 species